rnacentral:misc_RNA from 1 species
CACCAUUCCAGGAUUUGAGUUAUUUUUUAUGUUCUGCUGAAGAGUUGUGCUGGGCUCAGAUUCAAUCUCAUGAUGAGAAGGCUCUCGUUCCACAUUUCGAGCGCCUCGUCCUCGGCCCCUUCCUCGACCACGGCCUCUCCCUCUGCCACUGCUACCUGCAUGGCUCAUCUCAUGCAUCUUGCUUCUCUUCAACUCUUCAUCACUGUCAUUGCAUUCAUCCACAAUGGGCUUCCUCUUUUGAAGGGUUCUAUGAUCUGCAGCAUUGUCAGCAUGACCAUGUCCAUAGUCAGGAACCCUGCUGACUAUCUCUCUCAAAAAAUCAAAAACAUUGUAGCUCUGUACGCAAUGUUUUAAAUGCAAUGCACUCAUAGUCUUUGCUCCUCGCUGAAGGGUGAUUUCAUAUGUACGGUCACAAAGGUCUUGCAAAAACAAUUCCAAUGCUUUAGAAACUAAGACAGGCACAGCCAGCGCUAUCUUCCCAACAUCCUCAUCUGCUUGCAUUAUCUUUUUUAUGCGAGCAGCUGGGAAACGGGUGUCGAGCUUCUUCCUCAUGGCUGUCAGAUUUGGAGCAUUUAAAUUAAAAAAAAAAUCCCAAAUAAAUAGUUACAACAGCAGAAGCAGAAAGCUAAAACAACCAAAAACAGAAAUCAAAAUUAUAUUUUUCAAAUCAAAAUCAUUUCUUCAUAAUUGAAUUUUGGAUAUCGCACGAAAAAUCUAUAUGCUAUCCGUCU